rnacentral:ncRNA from 1 species
UUCUUAUCAAGAAAAGCUGAGGGAAAUGGCCCGUUGAAGCUUUAGCAACCUCUUCUGUAAAAGGAAGAAAGGUGCUACGUCCAGCCGCUGCAAAGCGGAAAGAUAGGUA